GACAAGGGCUCAAGCCUGGAACCUCGGCAGCACUUUAAUGCACUCGACGUGGGUGCCUCGGGCCUUAAUACCAGUCAUUCGCCAUCGGCGUCCUCAAGAAGUUCCCACAAAUCCUCGCACACAGCCAUGUCAGAACCCACCUCCACUCCCACCAAGCUGAUGGCAGAGGCCAGCACCCCGGCUUUGCCAAGAUCAGCCACCCUGCCCCAAGAGUUACCUGUCCCCGGGCUCAGCCAGGCAGCCACCAUGCCGGCCCCUCUGCCUUCCCCAUCGUCCUGCGACCUCACACAGCAGCUCCUGCCUCAGACCGUUCUGCAGAGCACACCCGCUCCCAUGGCACAGUUUUCGGCACAGUUCAGCAUGUUCCAGACCAUCAAAGACCAGCUAGAGCAGCGGACGCGGAUCCUGCAGGCCAAUAUCCGGUGGCAACAGGAAGAGCUCCACAAGAUCCAGGAGCAGCUCUGCCUGGUCCAGGACUCCAAUGUCCAGACACAUCUGCUCGCUGCCUCCACC
rnacentral:sRNA from 1 species